CCUACACGCCUCUGCAGCAGCAGCAGCACAGCUCGGCUGACACGGACAGGUUCAUCCUGACCGGGGAGCGGUGACGAUCCGCCGGCCUCCACGCGGACGUGCCGCGGUGGCACGCUGAGCUACUAACGACGGCUACACGUAGAGGCACCCAGCACACAGCCGUAAAGUGCAGGAGAUUCUGCGGGGAGAUAACGCCGUGGCUUCCGAGGAGACGGACCUGCAGCGGCGGAGCGCACCAUGCAGCAGGAGCGGGGGUGGAGCAGCCCGGUGCAGCUACUCUCCCACCUUCUCUGAUAAAUUAUCACCUCAAAUACCGCUUAGAAUGGAAACUUAGCUAAUAACGCGCCUUGAUAAAUCAAAUCUACAUUUCUGAAUUAAAUAAUGUUUGAUCUUAUUGCUUUAGAGAGAGAGUGACGCUCCCCCGUCGGGAGUCUGUUUUUCGCUCCUGCCGUGUUGACUAAUAUCUGUGCGCCUGAAUACACAGGUGAAAUGCUCAGUAGCCUGCGAUGUGAAAUCAAGUGACCCGAAGAGCAAGGGAGACGCAAUCACAAUGAUUUUAGACCAAAACUGUAAAAGUGGAGGAUCAAAAGUGAAACGGUUUAAAAAUAAACAAGUUUUCAAAUAAUUGUAGAUAGGUUAAAUAAAACUGCAAUACAAGCCUGAAAUAAUUAAUAAUAAUAAAAUAUAUAUAUUUGUAUUACCAACGACGUUUCAAUUAAAACCUUAUAUAAUUAUUUCAGCGAACUGAUUAUGAUACUUAAAGCUGGAAGGAAAAAUAAAUCCCCCAUCCACUGCAACAGGAACAAGAGUGACAACUAGUGUCCAACAAACAAUGUCAUAAAAAAUUUAAAUAAAUAUAUUCAUAAUCUAAUUAUUUUAAUUUAAAGAAAAAUCAUAGCUUAAACUCAAUAUAUAUUAAAAUCCUGUAGAAAUAUUACAAUAUUUUUUUCUUUAUUUUAUAUACCGAGUGGUAUAGUCCAUCAUGAAAGUCCUCAAACUGUAAUUAUGACUCCUUGAAUGACAGUAAUUUCACGAUACUCCGCAUAGGAGGAAUAUGAAACAGUCACAUGUAAUAAUGAUAUAUAUAUAUAUAUAUAUAUAUAUAUAUAUAUAUAUAUAUAUAUAUAUAUAUAUAGAUAUAUAAAGCUUACAGUGCAGUGCCUGAUUCCGAUCCUCUACAUUCCCUGUUUUCAUGGCAACAGGAAGCAUCAUCAAACACACAACUUGCAUGUGAUAAUCAAACAAUCAGAGCUUUAUUCUCUAUUUCAGAGUCCCAGCUUAUCCUCACAGUAACUAAUUUCCUAUAGCACAACAUCCAUAUACGUUUCACCCUCUGUGUUAGGUUGCUUGAUACGUCUGUUUUAUCAUGCUUGAAUGCUGCUUAAUAAUGGCAAUGACUGAAACUGAGGCACUUCCUCUUAAUUCAGAUCUCUCUAGAAGUGAUAGCUACAUUUGUGAUGGAUGUAAAUGACAUAUUUUCCAGGUUGUAUAUGUAAAACUGCUAUAACGAUGGCCACUGAUAAAAGUGUGUAGUUUUUAUCCAUUUCAAGCUGCCUCCCUUCUCCUCCCAGCAUUCACAUCUGCGUGUCUGGAGGGUCAAUUAAGAUGAGGUUGUAUGGCUGGUGUCGGUCUGAAUCAACAACACAACUUGAUAUCAGUGUUGGGGUCCCUGAGCACUCAAAGGUCAACCUGACCUAUUGACAGCCCAGCUGAAACCUGAGCUUUUAAACGGCUAGCCAGGGAUGUGCCUGCAGCACUCACGCAAAUAUGAAAGAGACCACUUAAUGGAAAAAUGGACGCACACGCCCACACACACGCGCACACACCAUAUGUCAGUGUCUUUCUUUGAAAGAAAACCUGAAUGCUGUCACUGUUUCUCCUUAUGUAGAACAAAAUGGGCAGACACAGAAGCGAGCAGUUUCUCACAAAACCAUAAAAUAAAAAAAGAAACCUUCAGAACUAAAUUCUAUAAAAACUCUGUUUUCUACUUUGUUUAAACUCUGCUUUACAUGUGGGCAAAAUAUUUCAUUUAGAGGUUUGGGAUGAGCUGUUUUCAUUUCAAAACUGUCAUCAUCUGUUAUUUGUCACAUUAUUCAGACUAGUGUUAGUUUUCUAAUAAUUUUAUAAUUUAUGGAUACAAUAAUAUAUAUUUGAUUUACCUUUGGCCCCCUUUUAUUGUCAAAAUGUGCUGCUAAUUUAAUCAAUAACAAUAAUAAACCUGUGAUUCGUAAAAUUGCUCCGGUUUGCUUUGUUUUCCCCACUAGCUGUGUGUUUUCUACUUUUACUGACAGACUCUGUGCAUCUGCAGAUUUUCUUUUAACUGUGCGCUUAUGUUUUUUAUUGGGCCUGAAAUUUUGCUUGUCUUUAUGUUGUCUUGAAAUAAAAUUGCAAAAUAGAAUA